UAUCUGUGCCCAUCCCUGGGUAUUUCUGGACAUUGCUGUUCACAUAAACACACCCUUCAUGUGAAAUGGGAUGUGCUAGCACAGAGAGCAGCACUGAUGGGGUCUGACAGUCACACUACGUUUUUAAGAGAUGAGAUUAGGUGACCAGGGAGAAAAAGUGAGCUCAGUUUCUUGGGUCAUUACUGAGUUUCUGCCACUGUUGUGUCCUCACAAGUCAGCUCAGAGCAGUGUUAUCCCCUCAGAUCUGUAACCAGGCUCUGCAGAUGCAUGGGGGCUAUGGCUACCUGAAGGAUUACGCCGUGCAGCAGUUCGUGCGAGACAUCAGAGUGCACCAGAUCCUGGAAGGUACCAACGAGGUCAUGAGGAUGAUUGUGGCCAGGAAUCUGCUACAGGGCUGAAGCCAGGAGCCUUCAGAUCCCUCCAUGUGUGCCAGCCCGGCCUGUUUCCCUCCCCUGCUGGCCAGCUCUCUCCCUGGGAGUGCAGAGGGGGAUGCCCCAGUGGAAACAGCCUUCCUGCCUUACCCACAGCUGGCUGGCACAGCUGCACGCCGUGCCUGGCACCAGGCUGGCAUUGUGCAGCCAGAAAUCACAGCUGUCAAUACAAGCCUGUCUCCAAACCCUGCUCCUGGCCUGCCUGCCACAUGUCCUCCUUGAAAAAACAAACACCAGAGCUGCUGCUCACCCCUGAAAUGGGAACCUCAGGCAGAGGUGAGCCCAUGGGAUCACUGAAAUCUUUAUUUUGAAGGAAUUAACCGCUCACAGCACCCCAGAUGAUCACAGGCUCUAACCAGAGGGUUUUUAUCCCAGGAUGCCUCUCCUUUAGCUAGAAGCACUCUCUCUUUUCCCAGCAAAUUUUUCCUAAACUUUUCCCAGCCACUGCUUGUUCUCUGUAUUCCCACCACAUCUUGGUGCUUAAUCUCAAAGAAGCCUUUGCAACACAAAAGUGCAAAUGAAAUACUAAGGUUAUGUACAGAAAUAUUGAGUUCUGCAGCCUCCAAUCAGUGAGGCUGUGAACGAUGUAAGGGGAAUAAAAAUAUUGGUAAAUUAAAUUGUUUUUUCCUCUCUGAUUUGGAAUCAAUAAAGCAAAGAUGGAAAUGUUA